rnacentral:lncRNA from 1 species
UUAAUCGGUGAAUUGAGUGUUUGUUUAUUGAGGACAUUUACAGGUUCUUGGGGAAAUGGACAGCCUGGAAGAGCUUUCUUGCCAGCUACUGCUUCAAGCCAUUUGGCAGUGGAAACUAGGAAGUUCAUUGAAUACUCUCGGAACAAUUGUUGUAAAUUGUAUUUCAAUCUGCAUUGAUCUUUAAAUUAUGUAGUCUUGGCAAAUGCCUAUGGGCAUGAAAGAUACACAUUUGAUGCAUGAUGGAAUGGAAGACCCAUGAAAAAAAUAUAAUAGAGAAAAUAACAUCGAAAAUUUAAUAUAGUUCAGCAAUUUGCCUACGUCCAUAGCUGAAGAGCAAGUAUUAUUUCACUAUGAUAAAAGAGAACAAUAAGUGUUUCACUCACUUCCCAAAAUACAAGUACACCCAAUUUCACUCUCACUCAAGUAUUUCUCACACAACUAGAACAAGAAGAGAGAGCACUAAGCUAAUUAUUUGGUGUGUUUUACAAUGUCAUGGAUCACUCAUAUUUAUAGCCAAAGCUCUUGAAGAUUAUGUGGCCAAAGGAAAAGAACAUUAAUAUUAUUUUAACCAUAUCCGCUUCUUUUUACUUGGCUGGAAAUUCUCCAUUUCUUGAAGAUGAUCUUUAGCCACUUCUUUUUUGCUUGGCUCAAGAAAGUCUUUUCACCAUCUUUCUCUUUUAGCCAAUAUUCAAUAAAUCUCCACCUUAGCUAAAAGACUACCAUAGUUAUUCUCUUGCUACUAUUAUUCAUGUUCACUAGAGAUUCUGAACAUUAAUCAAGUCUAUACAAUGUCUAAACUUGGUAGUUGGAACUGGCUUCGUCAUCAUGUCUGCCGGAUUAUUUGCAGUGAGUAUUUUCUCCACUCUAACAACUCUUCUCUCCACUAUGUCUAUGAUAAAGUGCAUUUGAACAUCAAAAUGCUUAGUUCUUUCAUGAUACAUUGAAUUCUUUGUCAGAUGUAUAACACUUUGACUAUCACAAUAGAUGGUGUUUCUUUAAGUUGUAUACCCAACUCUUCAAUUAGACUUUUCUCCCAAAUGACUUCCUUUACAGCUUCUGUUACUGCGAUGUAGUCUGCCUCAGUUGUAGACAAAGCAACAAUUGAUUGUAGUGUUGCUUUCCAACUAAUAGUACAACCACACAGUGUAAAGACAUAUCCGGUGAGCGAUCUUCGCUUAUCUAGAUCUCCAGCAUAUAAUCCGAGUCAACAUAUCCAGUGAUCUUGUUUCCAACAUCUUUGACUUUACCAUAUGAAAACCCUAUAUUUGUGGUACCUUUUAGGUAGCGCAUAAUCUACUUCACAACCUUCUAGUGAACUUUACCAAGAUUUGUCAUAUAUCUGCUUACCAUACUUACUGCAUGAGCAAUAUUUGGUCUAGUGCAUACCAUGACAUACAUGAGAUUACUAACCGCACUAGCAUAAGGUAGACUUGACAUCUCCUCUUUUUCAUUCUCAGUUUGUGGACACAAGACCAUUGAAAGUUUGAAAUGAUUCGUCAAUGGAGUAGUGACCCGUUAGCAUUUGGCAUGCCAAAGUGUUCCAACACUUUCUCAAUGUACAUCUUCUGUGACAGAAAGAGUGUCCCUCCUUUUCUAUCCCUCUGAAUCUUCUUUCCAGCUCCUAAGUCCUUCAUUUCAAACUCUGAGCUCAAUUGAGCUUUCAAGUUUCUAAUUUCUGACAUGUUGUUACAUGCGAUCAACAUGUCAUCACCAUAUAAAAGCAAAUAUAUGAAUGACUUAUUUGCAAGCUUCUUGUAGUUGACGCAACUAUCAUGUUCACUUCUGGAAUAUCCAUUUUCAAGCACGAAGGUGUGAAAUCGUCGAUACCAAUAUCUGGAAGAUUGUUUUAGGCCAUAUAAAUAUUUCUUCAACAAACAAACAUGAUCUUUCAUCCAACUCACAAUGUCAUAAUGUUGUUUUAACAUCUAGUUGCUCAAGUUCUAGAUCAAAUUGAGCUACAAUUGCAAGUAGGAUGCAAAUAGAGCUAUGUUUUACCACAUGAGAGAAAACUCCAUUGAAAUCAAUGUCUUCUCUUUGUGUAAAACCUUUGGCCACUAAUCGAGCCUUGAAUCUUGCAUCUUCAACCCCAGGGAUUCCUUCCUUCUUCUUCAAGACCCAUUUGCAUCCAACAAUCUUUUGAGCAUUCGGUCGCUUCACAAGAACCCAAGUAUGAUUCUUAUGAAGUGACUCAAUUUCCUAUGUCGUGGCAGAAAUCCUUUUGAAAGCUUUUUUGUUGUUGAUAGCUACUUCAUAUGACUAUGGUUCAUAGUUACUGAUAUCAUCAACAAUAUUUAUAGCGUAUGACACUAGAUCAGCAUAACCAUACUUUUAUGGAGGUUUUAUAUGUCUCCUUUGUCUGUCUCUAGCCAACUGAUAAUGUUGUAUUUGGGAGAUACAAUAUCAGUACAUGCAUCAUGGACUUCUUCUUCUUCUUGAUUAAGUGUUUUUUCUUUUGUUGGCUCCACCUCAAACUCCACAUUCUCCAAGAUAUUAGCAUCUUCAUUUUACUUGAUGACUCUGUAUGAGGCUUUAGCAUUUCAGCUUCAUUAAGAGUAACAUCUCUACUAAUAAUGCACUUUUUUUUCUUUGACCACCAUAACUUAUAUCCUUUCACACUAUCAAGAUAUCCAAGAAAAAUGCAUUUCAAUGCUCUUGUAUCUAAGUUUUCCUUCUUUGUUAUGAGCAUAUGUAGGACAACCAAAUAUCCUCAAAUUUUCAUAAUUUGCCGGAAUACCCGACCACAUCUCUUCUGGAGUUUUAAAACCAAUGGUCGUGCUAUGCUGACAGCUUCCGCACAAAAUUCUUUUGGCAAUCCAGCAUCUGACAACAUACAUCUUGUCCUUUCAAGUAAGGUUUUGUUCAUUCGUUCUGCAAGUCCAUUUUGCUGUGGAGUGUGCCUCACGGUAUAAUGUCUGACAAUAUCAUGAUCAUUGUAAAAAUUUCUGAAUUCUCUGCUGCAGAAUUCUAGACCAUUGUCAGUUCUCAGUCUCUUGAUCUUUCUUCUGGUUUGCUUUUCGAUCAAAGUUUUCCACUGUUUGAACAUGACAAACGCUUCACUUUUGUGUUUCAAAAUGAGGAUCCACACAUUCCUUGAAUAGUCAUCAAUGAAUGUUAACAUGUAUCUGCUACCACCAUGAGAAGGUAGUUGGGAAGGACCCCACAAGUCAGAAUGUACAUAAUCCAGCGUACCUCUUGUUCGAUGAACUCCAGCAUUGAAUUUUAUCCGACAUUAUUUUCCGAAAACACAGUGUUUACAAAAGUCAACCUUCCCAACUUGUUGACCGCAUAGUAAUCUUUGUUUGACCAACUCGGCUAGACCUCUUUCACUAACAUGACUCAUUCUUAGAUGUCAUAGUUUGGUGACAUCAGAAUCAGAUGUUGAGGAGACAACAGCAAGACCCGUGAUUGUUUCCUUGUAACAUAUAGAGACUAUUCUCUUUCUUUCCUUUCAUUACAACCAUAAUGCAUUUAGAUAUUCUUAUAGCUCCACCUUCACCUUUAUAGCUAUAACCUUUUUAAUCUAGUGUUUACAAGGAAAUCAGAUUUUUCUUCAAUUCUGGAACAUGCCUUACAUCUGUAACGUCCUUACAAUUCCGUCGAACAUCUUGAUUCUAAUUGUGUCGAUGCCAAUGACCUUGCAGGGAGCANNNNNNNNNNNNNNNNNNNNNNNNNNNNNNNNNNNNNNNNNNNNNNNNNNNNNNNNNNNNNNNNNNNNNNNNNNNNNNNNNNNNNNNNNNNNNNNNNNNNUCAUUCAUCUUUUGAGUCGUGCUCUGAGACUAUUAGUACAUCUGUACUAUCAUAGCCAUUUGCUACAGCUGCAUUUUCAUAUUCAUAAUCUUUUCCUUGCAUUUGUGCUCUAGACAAUUCUUUUUUAUAUGUCCCUCCUUGUGAUAGUGAAAACAUUUAUACUUUCUAGGUUUUGCUUUAGACUUGAACCUAGAUUUUCAUCUUUCACCAAAUUGAUUUCGCCUCUCUGUUCUUCAUCUGGAAAAAAAACUAUCACAUGGCCUUCAGUUCUCGAAUCUAAACUCUUUUCUAGUUCUUUCGAGUGCAACGCCGCCUUUACUUCGUCUAAGGUCAGAUCUUCUCGACCAUACAUCAUGGUGUCGAUGAAGUGCUCGUAAGAACUUGGAAGGGAACAUAAUAGAAGAAUUUCUUGGUCUUCAUCUUCAAUUUAACAUCAAUAUUCUUUAGAUCAAGAAUAAUUUUGUUAAAUUCAUCGAGAUGAUCUUUUAUGGGUUUUCCUUCCUGCAUUUCAAGAGUAUAUAUUCUUUUAUUCAAAUACAGCCUGUUAGUGAGUGACUGCUUUCCAGCUUCAAUCAUAAUGAAGCAGUUGUAGUUUCAUCUGACACUUCUCGUAGGACUUCAUCUCUCAAGCACAACAAAAUGCACUAUGUGCUUUUUCCAAGUUUUCAUCUUUCUCGUCCUCGGUCAGACUCUGUGGUAACUUGUUUCUACCUUCCAAGGCUUUUCCCAAGCCUUGAUGAACUAGUAGAGCCUUCAUCUUCAAUCGCCAUAGGUUGAAAUCAUUUUCUCCAUUAAAUUUCUCCAAAUCAAAUUUAGCACUCGCCAUGAUAACCGUAUACCAGAACAGUAUCGUAUAUACACUAAGAAAGUUCCCAGAUGUGAGUCUUAACAGAUAAGCUUAAAUAUCAGGUCUUUCCUAAGACAGAACAUUCCUAGACAUGCACUUUCACACUAUUAUACCUUUGCAGUAACAAGAAUAAUUAUUUUCUAGUGUGUAAGAUCAAACAAUGCUGCAAACACAGAGCAUACUAUGAAUUUUCUUUUAGAUCGUACGGCUUAGCAUGCAAGAGCUCUACGAGCUAUGAUACCAGUUUGUUAGAGCGAAAGACCCAUGAAGAAAAUAUAAUAGAGAAAAUGACACCGGAAAUUUAAUGUGGUUCGACAAUUUGCCUACGUCCACAGCUGAAGAACAACAAAGAUUAUUUCACUAUGAUAAAAGAGAACUACAAGUGUUUCACUUACUUCCCAAACCCAAGUACACCCAAUUUCACUCUCAUUCAAGUAUUUCUCACAGAAAAUAUGCACUAAGCUAAGUAUUUGGUAUGUCUUACAAUGUCAUGGAACACUCCUAUUUAUAGUCAAAGCUCUUGAAGAUUAUAUGGCCAAAGGAAAAGAGUAUUAAUGUUAUUUUAACCAUAUCCACUUCUUUUUACUUGGUUAGAAAUUCUCCCUUUCUUCAAGAUGAUAUUUAGCCAUUUCUUUUUUGCUUGGUUCGAGAAAGUUUUUUCAUCUUCUUUUUCUUUUAGCCAAUAUUCAAUAAUGCCAAUGUAACAUUUGCAUGAUUUAAAUUAUUCUGUAAUAGUUAGGAACACUUUGGUAAAUGACCCAGUAUACCUCAUCUGUUGGUUUGCCAAAUGACAAUGAUGAUAAAUUAAUCAUAUAUUGGGCAUGCAUCCAUUUUCGCUGACAACUGCUAUAAUAUAGAUAAGAGGGUAAGCCUUGGCACAAAAGUAAGGAUGCUACUUAUUAACCAACAUGUUAUAUGUUCAAUCCUAGAAACAGUCUCUCUGCUUGUGGGAAUAAGACUACAUACAUCUACUUUUCUCAGAUCCCACUAAGUAGGAGCCUUAUGCAUUUCGACACCUUUUUUUUCUCUCUAUAAUAUAGAUAGAUAUUAUAUUCAGCUGAGGUAUUGUUGUAAUGAUAGAUAGACCAAGUGAACCUUCAAUACCCCAUGUUAAAUAUAUCACAGGUGAUUCAUCGGCGUUGAGCGAUUUGAAAGUAAACUAUAUAACUCAUGAACUAUGAAUGAUCUUGAACUACUAGAAAAUGUUUCUGGUUUGAAGUUAUCUGUGGCUUGCCAAAAACAUGAUAGGCCUUUCAGCUUUUACAGAUAUAUAGAUGCAAUAGAUUAAGGUUUUUAUAUAAGCAAACAACUGGAUCCUAUUACAGAUUUAAACUUCAUGAAUGAAGACAUCAUAUAAAGGCUCAAUUACAGAACUUUGUACCUCUUAUGGAUGGAGACUUUCAAAAUGUGCUCAUGGCUGAGUGCUGGGCAGUUUGCUGAGGAUUGAGUGUUCUG